rnacentral:lncRNA from 1 species
AUAGAAUAAGUUGGAUUGUUUGUUGUAUUUAAUGAUUAGCCUUGUAAUGUUGUUAGAAUAGAUUUGUUAGUGAAUUUAUAUAUUAGAAUUAUGAGGUGUGAAAGUUAUUAAUGGUGUGCUCUUAUAUUUAUUUAUGAUGGAUUAGAAUUAGUGUUUGUUAAUAAGGAUGUAGAGUUGUGUUGUGGUGGUAUUGUAUAUGCUGUAACUAAUUAUGUAAUGAUCGGAAUUGCAUGAGACCAAGUUUGGGCUAAACUUGGGAAUAUAAGGAACUAAACUGGAAAAUUUGGGACCUUUUUGUUAAAUAUACAAUUUAUGGCAAAUUUUUAAAGUUAGGUUGUUAAAUCUGUCGAGCAGCAGAAAAGAUCAAACAGGGCAGCAACUUGUUUGUCUUGCUGUGACUUCUACGAGUUGAGUUUUGGAGCAAAACCAAUUUUGUUAUAAAAUUUGAUUAACUUGCUUUAUUUCUCUAAAAUUUCAGAAUUUUAGGAGUUGAGGAUUGGGAGCUGUGAAUUUUUGAAUAUUGGUGGGCAAAACUGAAAAGAAACAGAUUUCAGCAAGCUAUGCAUCAACUUCCAAUGCUUGUAACUCUUAGAAUUAAAUAGAAAUUAGGUUGCAACUAAGACACACUUAUUUCUAGAUGAGCUAGGGGUUCUCAAAUCAAAAAUUUAGCUUAAUUGGAGUUUUGUAAUAAAAGUUAUUCCAAUUGAAAGGUACUAAGCUUGUUGGUUUUUAAAACAGAUUUUGUCUCAUUUUUACUUAACUUCCAGGUAAUGUAACUUUUUCAUUAAAAAUGGUAUUGACUCAGAACUAAAUGAGAAAGAAACCUGGAUGAGUAAAGUUUAACUACAUUAAUUUUCAAAGUCAUUGGAUUUAACUUGGAUUUUAUAUUGAAUUUUGAAUAUCACAUGCUGCUGCUGUUUUUCUGGUUUUAUGCACUGCAGAGCAGUCACGGUUUUUCCUUUAUUCCUGAGGAUAGAAAAAUCAGAAAAUUAUGAUGUUUAGUUUAUUAGAAAGCUUAUUUCAAUAUGAACACCUGGACAUAAAGUUUGUGCAAUUCCGAGUUCAUUUGCUAUAUUAGAAACAGAAAAGAAAAUAGAGUGUCGAGGAUGUCUUAGUGAUAGUCAUGAGUUCGAGAAGUUAAAGUUCAAUCCUCGUGUGAUGUGAUUGAUUUAAUGUUAGAGUUGGGUUGAUUUUAAGAGUAUUCGAUAUUAAGAAGGAUGAGAAGAGUUUGAUAGAAAGUUUGGUCAGGACCCGGAAAGGGUAAUCAAGAUGAAUUAUAAGGGAAUGACGAUGAAAAAUGUGAAAGGGAGGUUGUUAAUAAAAGGAGUUAAUAUGCCAUGGCUUGAUGAAUGAUUAAAUAAUGAUUAUGACUAUGAAAUGGCUUAUGAAUAAUGCUAUCUGAGAUACGAGUUCCCUGGGUAAGAGCCGUGGCUCGCCAUCACGUGUUCCAGGUUGAAUCUCGAUACUCUGUUGACUCUACGUCGUAAGGGUGACCGGGCACGUAUAAAUUCCCGGGUAUGGAUAGCCCCAUUGAGUGAUUUUAUGAAAUAUGAAUGUGAACUCUAUGCAUAGACUCUUGGGAUGCGCGACGGGAGACAGUCUAAGGUUUUCGGACUUGUCGGGUUGGUUGGAUAACCGACAGAUGGGCCCCAUCAGCCAUAGGACAGGCAUGCAUCAUAUGCAUUUGUUUGUAUUGAUUGCUAUGCAUUUUCUGGGUAUGCCUAAUUGAUAUAUAUUACCCGCUAUUUGUUAUACUUGCUAUUUGUACUAUUUGAUCAUUACUUGUGCGUGAACUUGUUUGGUUGCUUGUUUCUGUUGCAUUCUGAAUGAUGAAAGGAUGGAGGAAACGAAGGAAAUGGUUUGGUGUUAGGUUAAUCUUGAACUUGAGUAAGUUAGGCAGAUUUAGAAUACCUACCCCUGUUUAUGGCUUCUGUUUAGUACUUAAGUUGGAUAAGUGAAUAACGGAGUUCUAGGAUUGCCUAUGGCAUUCUCAGGACCGUAUUUCUUAUGCGCGUGGCACUUUUACCAUGCUGAGAACCUCCGGUUCUCAUUCCAUAUUGUAUUGUUGUUUUUCAGAUGCAUAAACUAGAGAUAUUGAGACUGAUCACCUUGAUAUCACUUGUUUGGUGUGAAUAGAAACCAAAUGGCGUCUCGUGGGCUCGGUAGUGAGCGUAAUCGAGGUCAAGGAUGGAGAGCUAAUGAAGUAACCAUACCAAUAGAUAGUUUGACCGAUAUCGUGACCGCAAUGACGAGUGUUGCUGCUGCCAUUGGUACUGUUGCGGCCGCGACCAUCCGAGUAAUGGGUGGAAUGGAACCACAAGCUGGAACUGGCAACAAUGAUGAUAAUGAAUAUGAAGGUGGACAUAAUGCUCCGAAUACAGGGGUACCACUUAGUUAUCUGGAGCAGGUUAAUGUGGGUCAGACAAUAGGAGAAAGCUCAAGGAGGGCUGAGGUAGCAAGAAGUAAUCAUCGAGAACCCUUCACAAAGAAAAAGGGAAAGAUUACACCGAGGAGCUAAACUUUCAAAAAGAAUCGCUUUGUCGCUUCACAUUCUCAGCACUGGAGCAAUGACCGAAGGAACGAUAACCGUUCGGAUCCGAAUGCUAAAGGGAAAACUAGUACCCAACUGGAUGAUUUAAGGUGCCCAAGGUGCAAGAAGUACCAUCCAAACAGACCGUGCAGGGCCGGAUUAGGCGUAUGUUACAAGUACGAGAAGUCGGGGCAUAUAGCUCGAGACUGUCCACACAAGAAACGCCAGGAUGCAGUCGAAUCCGAUCUUCAGACCCGAGGUAAUCAUAAGCUAGCAGUUGAGUUUUUAACUACCUUGCGUAUCAUUAAUAUAUGUAUGAUCCAUUUGUGAAGCACGACAAGUUUUGAUGAUCGCGGAGUCCGAACCGAUGGUUAGUCGAAGACUACUAGUUAUUAAGAUGGAGCGAUACUUAACUAACUUAGAUGAGUGACUAGGUUCUUAAAGGAUGAGAGUCAGAAUAAUGCAGUAGAAUCAGGGUGGUUAGACUUUUGAAGGUUAAGGAUUAAGUGACGUAGUGGAAGCAGGUUGGACCAUAUCUAAGGAAUCAGAAGUGUUGAGGGUUAUGCGGAGUUAUUGUUUGGAAUUUAGUGACGGUGAAACUUUGAGGAAGAGGAGUAGAGCGAACACAACCUUUAGAUGUUAAUUGUUCAGAGGUAAGUGGAGAUGAAACCAAAUCUCUAUACGAGAGAGUUUCUAAGACAAUUCUUGAAGGUGUGUCAAAACUUCCAUUCCAGAGAGAAAGCGAGUUUGCGAUAGGCUUAGUAUCGGAAACCGGAUUAACUUCAAUUGCACCACAAGUGAAGACAUCAUUAUAACCGGUAGAAUUUAGGAUUGAGUGGAAGGGAGUACUAGAAGAGGGAAUCACCUAACCAACUAUUUCUUUGUGGGAAGCAUCGGUUAUGCUGGAGAAGAGGGAAGAGAACGGUAGGAAACCUUAUGCAGAGAGAGUGUGCUAACGAACCUUCGCGACUCGAUCUAAUCCUUCUUUUGAAACCUACAUUGACAUUCGAUUGAUUCCUUAAGAGCAUGACUUUUGGAUACGGAAGAUGAAGCAGGUAAGCGUGCACCGUCAAAAAGAGUUUUGGAGUUUUAAAUUCUUGUCGACCACAAAGCCUAUGAUUAGUUUAAUGCGCUAGAAAUACACCGGUUACAUAGAUAUCCGAAUAUGAAGAGAGCUUUCAAACUCCAAGAGAAGGAUUAACCCUAAAUCCAGUAAUUAGAAUACCCGAACUUAUUUAACAACUCGGAAUUAGUGCGAUACAUUACCAGAGGGGUUUAGGAUACGUGUAAAUACAACAUUGUGAAGUGGUAACAGAUGCCCUGAGUAAGAAAUUUUUGGGGAAAUGCUUGGAUAUAAAUUUCGGAGAAUGGAAGGCUAGAUAAGUUGGAACUUUAAAUUGGAUAUUAAGGGUAUAGAUAAAGGAGUCAAACUAAAUCUAUUGCGGUUUUAAAACAUAGCAAAGACGAAAUGCAGGAAGCGUGAGGGAACGAUAAAGACCUACCGAGGAUGUCAAAGUCUGGCAAACGAAAGGGAACUAAGAAAAGAUUUAUAUGUUUAAUGUCGAAAUAGAGAUUGUAAAGUCAAAGACUUAAGGAGUGCAAUAACGGUGAUAAGGGGCUACUAAGAGUACUGAAACCGGUUGAAUCCAGAAGACACCAAGAGAGGGUUAUGUGUUGAGGUCGGAAGUUGAAAUAAGAAACUGUUGUUCGAAGCUUACAGGAGAAAAUUUUUGAAGUUACCUUGAGAUUUCUAAAACCUACCACGAAUCAAAGAAGAUAUUUUGAGCAGACAGAAAUGAAGGACGAGGUGGAAAUCUAUGUGAUUACAAGUUUGACGUAUGAGAAAGAAAUGAAAGACCACCAGAAACUGUUCGAAAUGCCACAACCGUCGAAGGUUCUACAUUAAAGAUAAAAGGGAAUAGCCAUUGAUUUCAUAAUAGGUUACCGAAGACUAGGACAAAAGGUGAUACUGUUAGGGAACUGUGGAUCAAGCGACCAGGCCCAUUUUGCCCAUCGGAGUAAACCACUUAUUGGGGAUAUCAAAGAGACUAUACAUCAGGGAGAAGGUGAGACUUCACAGUAUGCUAAACACCUUUGAAUUAACCGAAAACUGGAAUGUCAAACGUCUUAGUUCCUGAAUUUGACAGCCGAAACAACAGAGGAAGAGUUACGCAAAUCUAAGUUAGAAUUCUCACUAUGACAGCCGACAAAAGAGUUAGGUGGAUCUAAGAAGAAGACUUCUCAAGUUGGAAGGAAGGGGAUACCUAUUUUUGAAGAUCACUUCAAUGAACUAGAAUCGGAUGAUCAAUCAAAAACUAAAAAGCUUAAUGCCUAUCACAUCGGACAAGUGGCGUAUAGGAUCGCUUUACUAUCACAUUGUUCGAACCUGCAUGACGUGUUUCAUAUAUCGCAGCUUCGUAAAUACAAUUUUGAUCCUAGUCAUGCCCUAAAGCCGGAAUUAGUUCAAGUGAGAGAAGAUCUGACGUUUUUAAUAACUCUCAUUAGAAUUGAUGAUACCAGCAUUAAGCGUUUACACGGGAAAGAGACUUUCUUAGUGAAAGUAGCUUGGUGUUGGGCUAGUAUUGAAGAAUAUACCUAGGAGCUUGAGACAGAGAUGAGGAAGGACUACCCACACCUCUAUUCAGGUAACGCACUCUGAAUUUUGAGGACAAAAAUCCUAAUUAGGUGGGUAGGAUGUAAACCCCGCUAAAAUCGGUAUAUAAUUAGUCAAUAAAUCAAAUUUUCAAUAGGAAAAUUAAAUAUGCAAAACAAAUAUCAAAAUAGGAUAGAGCUCGGCAAAACGAGAAUUUUGAUAUCACUUUCGAAAAAUUUGGCCCAAAAUUGAGCCGAAUGGGCUGAGCCGGUUGAACCGGGCCCAAAUCAGGCCCGUGGGCCCAACCAGCCCAGUAUAUAAAUGAGCUAAAGCCCAUUUUCUGCCUUAGAACACAACAGAAGCAGCGUAAAUGCAUGGAGAAGAAGAGAAUGAAUUCCAAAACCUAGCUUGAUCUUCUUUCUUUGAUAACUUUUGAUCCGGAGCUCCGAUUGACGAGCCGUUUACGGCCACGCGUCGGGCUCGUUGAGUUCUUCAAUUCUAUUCAAAUAAAACAGUAAGUGAAUCGCUUUUUCCUAGCUCCAUUUCUGCUGGUAUAUGAAUUUCGGGUUUAAGGUUUGAGAAACUCAAUUCCUUGAUGAUUUUCAUGUUUUAGGGGUCCACUAGACUUGAUUUCUUGUGGGUAUUGCCCAAGGAUCAGUGGAUAAAGGUAAGAGAUCUUAAACCCUAAUGAAAUUUCUGAAUUUAAGAAUUUGGGUAUUGAGUUGUUAAGUUUGGAUGUGUUAAUUGUGGUUUAGGUAGUGUGUAUGUGAAUGUUGAUGCUUGUUGGAGGCUUGUUGGUGAUCAAGCUUGGUUUGGGGCUGUUUGAUUGAGCUUGGAGGGGCUGUAAUUUUGAGUUGUGAGGCUGCCUUGGGUGAAUUAAGUGAUCGGCCAAGGUAUGAUUUAAGUUUCGCACGUUUAAUAUUUACGGUGUUGUGAAAACUUAGAUUAGAGGAACCAUAGAAUAAGUUGGAUUGUUUGUUGUAUUUAAUGAUUAGCUUUGUAAUGUUGUUAGAAUAGAUUUGUUAGUGAAUUUAUAUAUUAGAAUUAUGAGGUGUGAAAGUUAUUAAUGGUGUGCUCUUAUAUUUAUUUAUGAUGGAUUAGAAUUGGUGUUUGUUAAUAAGGAUGUAGAGUUGUGUUGUGGUGGUAUUGUAUAUGCUGUAACUAAUUAUGUAAUGAUCGGAAUUGCAUGAGACCAAGUUUGGGCUAAACUUGGGAAUAUAAGGAACUAAACUGGAAAAUUUGGGACCUUUUUGUUAAAUAUACAAUUUAUGGCAAAUUUUUAAAAUUAGGUUGUUAAAUCUGUCCAGCAGCAGAAAAGAUCA